UGAAAUCUGGCACCUUCGGUGUCCGAGUUGUAAUUUGAAGAAGGUAACUUUGGAGUUGGCUCUUGUCUAUGUUCCUUGGAACAGGACGUCACAGAGGGUGAGAAUCCCGUGCGAUGAGAUGCCCAAUUCUAUGUAAAGUGCUUUCGAAGAGUCGAGUUGUUUGGGAAUGCAGCUCUAAGUGGGUGGUAAAUUCCAUCUAAAGCUAAAUAUUGGCGAGAGACCGAUAGCGAACAAGUACAGUGAUGGAAAGAUGAAAAGAACUUUGAAAAGAGAGUGAAAAAGUACGUGAAAUUGUUGAAAGGGAAGGGCUUGAGAUCAGACUUGGUAUUUUGCGAUCCUUUCCUUCUUGGUUGGGUUCCUCGCAGCUUACUGGGCCAGCAUCGGUUUGGAUGGUAGGAUAAUGACUAAGGAAUGUGGCUCUACUUCGGUGGAGUGUUAUAGCC
rnacentral:rRNA from 1 species